rnacentral:rRNA from 1 species
UACGAAGGGGGCUAGCGUUGCUCGGAAUCACUGGGCGUAAAGGGCGCGUAGGCGGAUCUUUAAGUCGGGAGUGAAAGCCCGGGGCUCAACCCCGGAAUGGCUUUCGAAACUGCUGAGCUAGAGUACAGAAGGGGCAACCGGAAUUCCCAGUGUAGCGGUGAAAUGCGUAGAUAUUGGGAAGAACACCUGAGGCGAAGGCGGGUUGCUGGGCUGAUACUGACGCUGAGGCGCGAAAGCCAGGGGAGCAAACGGG